CGCUGCGGACGAAAACAGUUUUCAGGCCAGAGAGAUUGAUGUGAAGUUGUAUGAAGACAACAAUGAAACAGAGACAGGGAUGUUACUGGAAAAGGAUCUCUGUGAAAGAUUCCAAUCACAUCUCAGAACAAAAACGAAAAUCUUCAAAAGAGGGAGAUUAUCUAUUGUUUUCAACUCUUACCGACAACUAGUGAAAAACCAGUUCUGCCACAGAACUGGUUUUUCUUUUCAUAUUCUUCGCUGCGGACGAAAACAGUUUUCAGGCCAGAGAGGUAAGUUAACUACAGGAUUUCACUACAAGCAAGAGCUUUACAUCACAUUUUUGUAUCAAAAUGCAGACAUAAGUAAAAAAAAAUAUACAGUCUGAUGUACAACAGUUGGUCUGGAACCACAGUCUCAUGAUGAGGCAGUGGAAAACCAAUAUGUAUAUUGGUUUUCAGUUGAAUAGUCUUACCCCAUUGUUGACAUGAAAACCUGAGCCAUAUUUUACAUCAGAAAAUACUCAGAAUACUAUGUUAUAGUCUUUGGACAACAUGGCUAAGCAAUUUGACUAUCUUGUUUGUGAACAAGGACUCAUUUUGAUGGCACUGAAUUUUUUUCACUUACAUUGGCCUAUCUAUUUUGGAGAGAUGAACUAAGGAUUUUGAGCAAGUUGUCUUGCAGGUAAUUGAUUGUAUGGUGUUGUUUGUAGGAAUUGUUUUGACACCGACAAUCAAUAAGUAGGUUAACAUCAGAAGAGCUUUUUAUGUCAGAAGAGUUUUCUUUUCGCAUGCCCGUUUGUGACUCGCAAGAUCCGUGUCACAAUUGCUUACUGUAGUGCUGCUCAGUGCCAGUUCCACAGCUGAACAUCUGACAAAUCUACAAACAGUAAUACAAUCUAAAUUGGAUGCUUUGUAGAUCAGUGCAUUUUGUUAGGUUAACAUAACACACGCUACACAGAUAUGCACACUAGCAGACAAAAGUUUAAGAAUUCCCGGAAUGUUUAUUUUUUUUAAUUUAUAUUUAAACCAUUGAUGUCCUGUAAACAACUGGAAAUAUUACAAAGGUAAGGAGUAACCAUCCAGAGGUAUACGAAAACAGGGUUAUGGUUACAAAAAACUUAAAAAAGAAAGUACAUUAGUCAGAGUUAUUCAAAAAGCAAUUUUUCUGUAAACAAGUUUUGGGUUCACAAUGUACUGCUGUUCUGUAGCAAUGACAAAGUAAUUGUUCUACCAUGACAGCAUCAAAACCCAUACGACCAGGGGGGAGGGGUGAUGGGGGAAUGUGGGUGGAGUCACUCAUGACAGACAGGUCAGGGAAUGUAUAAAAGACAGUUAGGGAACAGACUGAAACACAGACACCUGCAGCCUCUGAAGCCAAACUACGAUAUAUUACAUAUUCAAGAACAGACUGCCUAAUUGAAGCCAUGAAGAUCACCAUUGUGCUCUGUUGCACUCUGCUCCUGGCUCUCUCAGUCUUUGCUGUGGACGAAACCAAUCUGCAGGCCAGAGAGCCCCAGUGUGACAAGUAUGAUGCAACAAUGUGCUCCAAGGAGUUAAAUCCUGUGUGUGGGAGUGAUGGACUCACCUACAACACAGAGUGUAUCCUCUGUCAAAACAACAUGGCUAAGAACCUGCAUGUCAUGGUGGUGCACAGUGGGAUGUGCAAGGUCUAGUCAUCCAGCCAGUCUGCCUGACAGGAAAUUUAUGGUCUCCAAACUGACCACCCAAUCACAGCCAUGGUUGGCUAUUAUACAUGUAGCACUUAACUGUAAUAAAGUUUUACAUCAUCCAUA